ensembl:snRNA U6 U6 spliceosomal RNA
GUGCUUGCUUUGGCAGCUCGUAUACUAAAAUUGGAACUAUACAGAGAAGAUGAGCAUGGCCCCUGAGCAAGGAUGAUGCACAAAUUCAUGAAAAAAUGGAUACAGAUUUUC